AUUGAACGCUGGCGGCAUGCUUUACACAUGCAAGUCGAACGGCAGCGCGGGCUUCGGCCUGGCGGCGAGUGGCGAACGGGUGAGUAAUGCAUCGGAACGUGCCCAGUAGUGGGGGAUAGCCCGGCGAAAGCCGGAUUAAUACCGCAUACGACCUGAGGGUGAAAGCGGGGGACCGAAAGGCCUCGCGCUAUUGGAGCGGCCGAUGUCGGAUUAGCUAGUUGGUGGGGUAAAGGCUUACCAAGGCGACGAUCCGUAGCUGGUCUGAGAGGACGACCAGCCACACUGGGACUGAGACACGGCCCAGACUCCUACGGGAGGCAGCAGUGGGGAAUUUUGGACAAUGGGGGCAACCCUGAUCCAGCCAUGCCGCGUGCGGGAGGAAGGCCUUCGGGUUGUAAACCGCUUUUGUUCGGGAAGAAAUCCUCUGGGCUAAUACCCCGGGGGGAUGACGGUACCGGAAGAAUAAGCACCGGCUAACUACGUG
rnacentral:rRNA from 1 species